rnacentral:sRNA from 1 species
UAUUCUGCCCUACAGGGAAGGAUGAGAAGCUUCGACUAAGGUUCGACUCGAGCGAAGCGAGAGAACGUUGCCGCAGGCAACGGCCCGAAGGGCGAGGC